UACGAAGGGGGCUAGCGUUGCUCGGAAUCACUGGGCGUAAAGCGCACGUAGGCGGCUUUCUAAGUCAGGGGUGAAAUCCUGGAGCUCAACUCCAGAACUGCCUUUGAUACUGGAGAGCUAGAGUCCGGAAGAGGUGAGUGGAACUGCGAGUGUAGAGGUGAAAUUCGUAGAUAUUCGCAAGAACACCAGUGGCGAAGGCGGCUCACUGGCCGGUACUGACGCUGAGGCGCGAAAGCGUGGGGAGCAAACAGG
rnacentral:rRNA from 1 species